rnacentral:rRNA from 1 species
CAGUCGCCGCGGGAAUACGAAGGUCCCGAGCGUUGUUCGGAAUCACUGGGCGUAAAGGGAGCGUAGGCGGCGUGGUAAGUAAGAUGUGAAAUCCCGGGGCUCAACCCCGGAACUGCAUCCGAUACUGCCAUGCUAGAGGAUUGGAGAGGUAGCUGGAAUUCUUGGUGUAGCAGUGAAAUGCGUGGAGAUCAAGAGGAACACUCGUGGCGAAAGCGAGCUACUGGACAAUAACUGACGCUGAGGCUCGAAGGCCAGGGUAGCGAAAGGGAUUAGAUACCCCUGUAGUCCUUGUCUCUUAUAC